rnacentral:rRNA from 1 species
CCCGGGUCUUGUAACUACAACCGCCCGUCAAACCAUGAAAGUGACCAACACCCGAAGUCCGAUUCGUCGGCCUAAGGUGGGGGCAUGUAUUGGGGUUUA